rnacentral:rRNA from 1 species
UACGUAGGGUGCGAGCGUUGUCCGGAAUUAUUGGGCGUAAAGGGCUCGUAGGCGGUCUGUUGCGUCGGGCGUGAAAACUCAGGGCUUAACCCUGAGCCUGCUUCCGAUACGGGCAGACUAGAGGUAUGCAGGGGAGAACGGAAUUCCCGGUGUAGAGGUGAAAUUCGUAGAUAUCGGGAGGAACACCAGUGGCGAAGGCGGCGAUCUGGGAAGAUACUGACGCUGAGGUGCGAAAGCGUGGGGAGCAAACAGG